GGUUGGAUAGCUCAGUCUGUAGAGCAUGUGACUCUUAAUCUCAGGGUUGUGGGUUUGAGCCCCGCACUGGGCA